GAUAAACGCUGGCGGCGUGCAUGAGACAUGCAAGUCGAACGAACGAGCUUGCUCGUUAGUGGCGAACGGCUGAGUAACGCGUAGGUGACCUGCCCUGAAGUGGGGGAUAACGGCCCGAAAGGGUUGCUAAUACCGCAUGUGGCGACGUGUUCAUUCACGUCAUCAAAGCCGCGAGGCGCUUCAGGAGGGGCCUGCGUCCGAUUAGCUCGUUGGUGGGGUAACGGCUCACCAAGGCGACGAUCGGUAGGUGGUCUGAGAGGACGAUCACCCAGACUGGGACUGAGACACGGCCCAGACUCCUACGGGAGGCAGCAGUCGGGAAUUUUGCUCAAUGGGGGAAACCCUGAAGCAGCAACGCCGCGUGCGGGAUGAAGGCCUUCGGGUUGUAAACCGCUUUUAUCAGGGACGAUGAUGACGGUACCUGAUGAAUAAGUCACGGCUAACUACGUGCCAGCCGCCGCGGUAACAC
rnacentral:rRNA from 1 species